ensembl:lncRNA
GGAAGGAAGAGCUGUGACUCAGCUGAUUGGCUGAAAAAGUGGAAAACAGACAGAGCGCCCAAUGGAAUUCAAGCAUGAGACAUUUUGUAUUGUUCCCCAUCAAAUCACAGAGGUGGGACCACAUAAACAGCCAGUCAGUGUGCCUGCUUUCCUGCUGUUCACAGCUCAUUGGUCCUACCAUGAACUUACCUGUUUUAAAAAAGAAAAAAAAAAGAAACAACAUGAAAAAAGUGGUACCAUAGGAGACUGUGGUGGAAAGAGUAACUAUUAAAACAUAUAAAAACAAAAAUAAAAAAUUUUAAAAGAGAAAAAAGUCAUAAAAAAACUCAAAAAAAUGUGUAGAAAUUAUAUCAAAAGGGCAAAAGGUGGGGCUAAAAAAGAGAUUUAACAAAUUACAUUUUAAAAAAUAUUUAAAAAGAGAAAUGUAAGAGAAAAUCUAUGAGACUCAAACAUGUUUGUUGUUAUUCUCUACUUGUAGGUAUUUUUGUGGUCGUGACGAUUUUUUCAUUCUUGUCUCACCGUUGUCUGAUGGAUCGCCCUUGCAUAAUGAGAUGAGUGUGUUUCCUCCUGUCUUGGCUAUCCGGGUUGUAGCCUUGGGUUGUGAACCUGUAAAAUGCCAUGGUUGAAGCAUGCCAGUUUUUAUACAAAAAGGAGAUUUAUUUAUAAUAAAGGAAUGUUUUGCAAAUGUGUAGAUUUUGUUGUCAUGCUUUUGAAAAAUGCGGAAAUGAGUUUGAAAGAAAAAGGGUGUUUUUUUCUCUCUGCUAUUGGAAAAUGGGCCAGAAGAUAAAGGAGAGUGAAAGUUAUUGAGUGAUAAAUAUUAGAGACAACAACCUGAUGUCCAGCCUUCAGAAAUACACGAGAACUAAAAAAAAAAACAGUCAACUGCAUCACUACAGUAGAUCCAUUCUUGUUGGGGGGGGGAAUCAAUACUGCUGAAGGCAAAGUGAAAGGACAAAUCACACCUUUUACAGGAGGAUGGUGUGCGCUACACACAGAUGUUACAAGAAAAGGUGUGAAAUUUACCAAGUGUAUUCCUGAAAUAGUGAUCUCAUACUUUUUGUAGUUUCUGCUGUUUCUUCUGAAAGCCGUGGAAAUCUCCCUUGAUGACAAAGUGUAUGUGUAGAAAAAUCAGUAAAUGUACACCUGGUAGUGGAGGCCUUUUUUCCCCCACAAUGUAUUGUUUUUGCAGCUGCUUUUUCAUUGUUUUCUAACUGCAAAAUCCCACAUGGCCUUAAACAAAAUACUAAACUCCU